UGGGGAAUUUUGGACAAUGGGCGAAAGCCUGAUCCAGCAAUGCCGCGUGUGUGAAGAAGGCCUUCGGGUUGUAAAGCACUUUUGUCCGGAAAGAAAUCCUUGGCUCUAAUACAGUCGGGGGAUGACGGUACCGGAAGAAUAAGCACCGGCUAACUACGUGCCAGCAGCCGCGGUAAUACGUAGGGUGCAAGCGUUAAUCGGAAUUACUGGGCGUAAAGCGUGCGCAGGCGGUUUGCUAAGACCGAUGUGAAAUCCCCGGGCUCAACCUGGGAACUGCAUUGGUGACUGGCAGGCUAGAGUAUGGCAGAGGGGGUAGAAUUCCACGUGUAGCAGUGAAAUGCGUAGAGAUGUGGAGGAAUACCGAUGGCGAAGGCAGCCCCCUGGGCCAAAUACUGACGCUCAUGCACGAAAGCGUGGGGAGCAAACAGGAUUAGAUACCCUGGUAGUCCACGCCCUAAAACGAUGUCAACUAGUUGUUGGGGAUUCAUUUCCUUAGUAACGUAGCUAACGCGUGAAGUUGACCGCCU
rnacentral:rRNA from 1 species